rnacentral:rRNA from 1 species
AUACGGAGGGUGCGAGCGUUAAUCGGAAUUACUGGGCGUAAAGCGUACGUAGGCGGUUGGUUAAGUUAGAUGUGAAAGCCCCGGGCUUAACCUGGGAACUGCAUUUAAAACUGGCGAACUAGAGUUGAGUAGAGGGGAGUGGAAUUUCAGGUGUAGCGGUGAAAUGCGUAGAGAUCUGAAGGAACACCAGUGGCGAAGGCGACUUCCUGGACUCAAACUGACGCUGAGGUACGAAAGCGUGGGUAGCAAACGGGAUUAGAUACCCCUGUAGUCC